rnacentral:rRNA from 1 species
AGAGUUUGAUCAUGGCUCAGAAUGAACGCUGGCGGCAUGCCUAACACAUGCAAGUCAAACGAAGCCUUCGGGCUUAGUGGCGCACGGGUGCGUAACGCGUGGGAAUCUGCCCUUGGGUUCGGAAUAACAGUUAGAAAUGACUGCUAAUACCGAAUGAUGUCGUAAGACCAAAGAUUUAUCGCCCAGGGAUGAGCCCGCGUAGGAUUAGCUAGUUGGUGUGGUAAAGGCGCACCAAGGCGACGAUCCUUAGCUGGUCUGAGAGGAUGAUCAGCCACACUGGGACUGAGACACGGCCCAGACUCCUACGGGAGGCAGCAGUGGGGAAUAUUGGACAAUGGGCGAAAGCCUGAUCCAGCAAUGCCGCGUGAGUGAUGAAGGCCUUAGGGUUGUAAAGCUCUUUUACCCGGGAUGAUAAUGACAGUACCGGGAGAAUAAGCUCCGGCUAACUCCGUG